CCUUGACUCCAGACGUGAUCUCCUGGACCUGCCUGUAAGAGAACCCAUUGCCUGGCAUUAUAAUGCUAUGUUUGAUUCAAUAGUGUAACAUGAUGCAAAGGCCUGACUGCUGGUAAGAAGAGGGCCAAAGGUAGGAAAGAAGGUAGAAGCCUACUUGAUGUUGUUUGGGUUGGGCUUCAAGGAUGCCUUCAUUUUUGGAAUAGAACAGCGAGAUACAGAAUCUUGUUUUAUGCAUGACGUUUCUGUACCAAGGGCCAGUUUUCAAGUCAACUCUUUCAACAAAGGAUGCCAUCCAGGAUUUCUCAAUAUGGAAGUUCACUACAAAGCUUAUACAAAUAAAACUCAGCUUUUUUGAGCAGCCUCCGGUGAUCUCAAUAAGACUUGCUGUCACACAGAUGUAUCACAGAAGGGGGACGCUCAUAUAAAGCAUAGUGAUUACGUUUUGGCCUGAGGGUAAAUACACAAGGGAGUACAAUGGAUGACAAAUUGCAUAAUCAAUAAACAGUAAAAUUUGUUUUUAAGAAGGACAAAGUGGCAGAUCUGCAUUAAGGGUCAUAAAGAAGAAGACC